AUGGCAGUUUACAGAAAACCUACACACACAGAUAGAUACCUUCAUAAAAACUCCAACCAUCACCCAAGUCAAAAAAGGAGCACAAUCAAAGCCCUGACAGACCGUGCACAAAGAAUCUGCGAACCUCACCUCCUCCAAGGUGAACUCAACCACCUAAACUGGGCUCUACAGGCCAAUGGAUACUCCACCACAGACAUCAGAAGAGCUGCAAGACCAAGAACAAGCCAUGAGAGUCAAGACAAAGAUCCACCCAGAGGAAAGGUGUUCUUACCAUACAUCAAGGAAACUACUGACCGCAUAGGGAAGCUGAUGAAGAAGCACAACCUACAAACUAUCUACAGACCCACAAAGAAAAUCCAACAAAUGCUACGGUCAGUGAAGGACAAGAGGGAUCAUCUCUCUUCUGCAGGAGUCUACCGGAUACCAUGCAGCUGUGGACAAGUCUACAUAGGAACCACCAAACGCAGCGCCCAAACAAGAGUCAAAGAACAUGAAAGGCACUGCAGACUAAUUCAACCAGAGAAAUCAGCCAUAGCAGAGCAUUUGAUGAACCAGCCUGGACACAGAAUACUAUUUGAGAACACAAAAAUGCUGGACCAUUCUAACAACUAUCAUGUCAGACUACACAGAGAAGCCAUUGAAAUCCACAAGCAUGUGGACAACUUCAACAGAAAGGAAGAAACCAUGAAAAUGAACAAAAUCUGGCUACCAGUAUUAAAAAACUCAAAAAUCAGAACAGUAAAUAAAAAGCAAUACUCUGAAAACAGAGGAUUUCCAGACAUGAAUCAACCAAGGGCAGUUAACGACUCUAAACAAAGGAUGCCCCAGAGGCAGGAAGAAGACAGCAGAUAAGCUUUUCAAUGCUAAUUAAAGUGAUUAACUACACAACAUUCACACUGACCUCUCUCACCCUAGACUUUCCACAGAUAUAUAUUAACCUCUUUGCUUAGUUUUCUCCAUACCUCACAACCUCUGAGGAUGCCUGCCAUAGAUGUGGGUGAAACGUCAGGAGAGAAUGCUUCUGGAACAUGGCCACACAGCCCGAAAGACAUACAACAACCCUGUGAUCCCGGCCAUGAAAGCCUUUGACAACACAUCUCCCUGUUCCCAUUCACCUACUGCUCUGUGGAAGGAUGACUAAUUAAAAGGAAUACUUUCAUGUUGGGACACAGGCUGUCCACAUUGAGCUCCCAAAAGCAGCCUG
rnacentral:lncRNA from 1 species